rnacentral:rRNA from 1 species
GACGAACGCUGGCGGCGUGCUUAACACAUGAAAGUCGAGCGAGCGGCGGACGGGUGAGUAAUGUCUGGGAAACUGCCUGAUGGAGGGGGAUAACUACUGGAAACGGUAGCUAAUACCGCAUACCAUCAGAUGUGCCCAGAUGGGAUGAACUAGUAGGUGGGGUAACGGCUAACCUAGGCGACGAUCCCUAGCUGGUCUGAGAGGAUGACCAGCCACACUGAAACUGAGACACGGUCCAGACUCCUACGGGAGGCAGAAGGGGGGAAUAUUGCACAAUGGGCGCAAGCCUGAUGCAGCCAUGCCGCGUGUGUGAAGAAGGCCUUCGGGUUGUAAAGCACUGUCAGCGGGGAGGCGUUACCCGCAGAAGAAGCACCGGCUAACUCCGUGCCAGCAGCCGCGGUAAUAC